CAGAGAACGAAACAACACAAGCUGAAGCAGCAGACAUUCCAGCACCGUCACCGGCAGCAAGAAGGAACUGAGGGUGGGGGGAGCUGGCGGUGCCCCUUAUACUGUGCCAUGCAAGCGCCACUCCAGAGGGCACCCAGAGCCGUUCCCCUACAGGUACUGCUGAGGUAAAAACUUCCAGCACCGGUGCAUGUGGCGAGCACACACAGCUAAUAUGGAAUGGACAUGAGCAAGCACUCGAAGAAGAAAAACUCAUCUCUACAGGAGACAACGAAACCAAGCAAUCUGAUGUCUGUGAUGGGUCCUGGCCAGUAAAAGCUGGAAAGGAGACUGAGGCCCUUCAGAAUUUUGCCUGUCUUAUCUGCAUCCUGGGAUGAAUAUGCUGCAAUGUACUACCUGGAUGAUGUGCUGAAGUCUUUCUGUCCAGAUGUCAAUCUUUUUCGACACAUAAUUCUGAUCAUCCUGAUGGCCAAGAACAGCAGUGACAGCAUGUACAGUAAUGGGAGAGAAGAGAAGAAAAUAACUAACAUUCUUUCCCUCCCAUGAAGAACAUCUUGGGGGAUGUGUGUGAGUGAGGAAGGAAGGGGGCCCCUUUGUUGGCAUGAAUAUAACUCAAAAAGCCAACUGCAGGCAAGAUCAUUUACAAAUGCUGCCAGUAAUGUCUCGUUUAUACAAAUACUUUAUAAUGAUCAGAUGAAGGAUACAUUACCAACCUCAGGAAAAGCAUAAUAAGGUCUCGUUUUCUUUUUCCACCCUCUCUCCUUCCCCCACAUAUUACCACAAUGUCACAAACUGUCUGAUUCCUGUAUUAAAAUACUCCUGGUGGGGUCUGAUACCUA